rnacentral:lncRNA from 1 species
UGGUGGCUUGAAUUUCCAACACUACAUUGUGACCCGCGUACGCAAAAGCCAUUGCACCCAGUCCAUUAAAGAAGCUUAAUACUGUCCCCGCUUGGGUAGUUUCUUUGUAUCCUAUGCUGUAAUCGAUGUCUGGUUGAACACCCCUGUCCACUGAAGCCACCCAUGCGAUUUACCUGAUGGACAUAACUGCUGCAGCCAAAGAGAUAAUGGUGAUGGAAUUGAAGUUGGGGCAAUGAGAAAGUAAAAAGUGGACAGAAGCGAAGAUCAUGAUCCAGUAAGUGAGCCGAAG